rnacentral:rRNA from 1 species
UGGGGAAUAUUGGACAAUGGGGGCAACCCUGAUCCAGCAAUGCCGCGUGUGUGAAGAAGGUCUUCGGAUUGUAAAGCACUUUCGACGGGGACGAUGAUGACGGUACCCGUAGAAGAAGCCCCGGCUAACUUCGUGCCAGCAGCCGCGGUAAUACGAAGGGGGCUAGCGUUGCUCGGAAUGACUGGGCGUAAAGGGCGUGUAGGCGGUUUACACAGUCAGAUGUGAAAUCCCCGGGCUUAACCUGGGAGCUGCAUUUGAUACGUGUAGACUAGAGUGUGAGAGAGGGUUGUGGAAUUCCCAGUGUAGAGGUGAAAUUCGUAGAUAUUGGGAAGAACACCGGUGGCGAAGGCGGCAACCUGGCUCAUGACUGACGCUGAGGCGCGAAAAGCGUGGGGAGCAAACAGGAUUAGAUACCCUGGUAGUCCACGCUGUAAAACGAUGUGUGCUAGAUGUUGGGUAACUUUGUUAUUCAGUGUCGCAGUUAACGCGUUAAAGCACACCGCCUGGGGAGU